rnacentral:rRNA from 1 species
ACGGGUGAGUAACGCGUGAGUAACCUGCCUUCAAGCCGUUAAUAACAUUCUGAAAAGAAUGCUAAUACCGCAUGACAUAUCGGAACCACAUGGUUUUGAUAUCAAAGAUUUUAUCGCUUGAAGAUGGACUCGCGUCCGAUUAGUUAGUUGGUGAGGUAACGGCUCACCAAGACCGCGAUCGGUAGCCGGACUGAGAGGUUGAACGGCCACAUUGGGACUGAGACACGGCCCAGACUCCUACGGGAGGCAGCAGUGGGGGAUAUUGCGCAAUGGGGGCAACCCUGACGCAGCAACGCCGCGUGAAGGAUGAAGGUUUUCGGAUUGUAAACUUCUUUUAUUAAGGACGAAAAAUGACGGUACUUAAUGAAUAAGCUCCGGCUAACUACGUGCCAGCAGCCGCGGUAAUACGUAGGGAGCAAGCGUUGUCCGGAUUUACUGGGUGUAAAGGGUGCGUAGGCGGCUUUGCAAGUCAGAUGUGAAAUCUAUGGGCUCAACCCAUAAACUGCAUUUGAAACUGUAGAGCAUGAGUGAAGUAGAGGCAGGCGGAAUUCCCCGUGUAGCGGUGAAAUGCGUAGAGAUGGGGAGGAACACCAGUGGCGAAGGCGGCCUGCUGGGCUUUAACUGACGCUG